UCCUGUGUGGCUCAGUUGGUAAAGCAUGGUGCUUGCAAUGCCAGGGUUGUAGGUUCGAUUCCCACAAGGGAC
rfam:Salmo salar isolate Sally breed double haploid chromosome ssa10, whole genome shotgun sequence.